AUGGAGUCUGGGCUGUGCUGGGUUUUUCUGGUUGCUCUGUUAACUGGUGUCCAGUGUGAGGUGCAGCUGGUGGAGUCUUGGGGAGGUCUGGUCCUGCCUGGGGGGUCCCUCAGACUCUCCUGUGCAGCCUCGGGAUUCACUUUUGAUGACUAUGCCAUGGACUGGGUCCGCCAGACUCCAGGGAAGGGGCUGGAGUGGGUCUCUCAUAUUAGCUGGAACGGUGCUAGCACAUACUACGCAGACGCCGUGAAGGGCUGGUUCACCAUCUGCAGAGACAACAGCAAUAACAUGCUGUAUCUGCAAAUGAACAGUCUGAGAGCUGAGGACAUGGCCAUGUACUACUGAGCAAGAGACACAGUGAGGGGUGCCAUUGUGAGCCCAGACACAAACCUUCUGUGG